rnacentral:rRNA from 1 species
AGCGAACGCUGGCGGCAGGCUUAACACAUGCAAGUCGAGCGGGCGUAGCAAUACGUCAGCGGCAGACGGGUGAGUAACGCGUGGGAACGUACCUUUUGGUUCGGAACAACACAGGGAAACUUGUGCUAAUACCGGAUAAGCCCUUACGGGGAAAGAUUUAUCGCCGAAAGAUCGGCCCGCGUCUGAUUAGCUAGUUGGUGAGGUAACGGCUCACCAAGGCGACGAUCAGUAGCUGGUCUGAGAGGAUGAUCAGCCACAUUGGGACUGAGACACGGCCCAAACUCCUACGGGAGGCAGCAGUGGGGAAGUAUUGGACAAUGGGCGGCAAGCCUGAUCCAGCGAUGCCGCGUGUGUGAAGAAGGCCUGCGGGUUGUAAAGCAC